GACGAACGCUGGCGGCGUGCUUAACACAUGCAAGUCGAACGGAAAGGCCCUGCUUUUGUGGGGUGCUCGAGUGGCGAACGGGUGAGUAACACGUGAGUAACCUGCCCUUGACUUUGGGAUAACUUCAGGAAACUGGGGCUAAUACCGGAUAGGAGCUCCUGCUGCAUGGUGGGGGUUGGAAAGUUUCGGCGGUUGGGGAUGGACUCGCGGCUUAUCAGCUUGUUGGUGGGGUAGUGGCUUACCAAGGCUUUGACGGGUAGCCGGCCUGAGAGGGUGACCGGCCAGAUUGGGAAUAAGCUACGGCCAGGAAUCCUACGGGAGGCAGAAGGGGGGAAUGUUGCACAAUGGGCGGAAGCCUGAUGCAGCAACGCCGCGGGCGGGAUGAGGGCCUUCGGGUUGUAAACCGCUUUCGCCCGUGACGAAGCGUGAGUGACGGUAAUGGGUAAAGAAGCACCGGCUAACUACGUG
rnacentral:rRNA from 1 species